UACGGAGGAUGCGAGCGUUAUCCGGAUUUAUUGGGUUUAAAGGGUGCGUAGGCGGACUGUCAAGUCAGCGGUAAAAUUGAGAGGCUCAACCUCUUCCCGCCGUUGAAACUGGUGGUCUUGAGUCGAUGAGAAGUACGCGGAAUGCGUGGUGUAGCGGUGAAAUGCAUAGAUAUCACGCAGAACUCCGAUUGCGAAGGCGGCGUACCGGCAUCCAACUGACGCUGAGGCACGAAAGCGUGGGGAUCAAACAGG
rnacentral:rRNA from 1 species